GAUGAUCCGGAAGAAGAUACCGAUGACAGGGAAAAAGAGCGGGAGAAGCGAAAGCGAGCUUGAAAAGGGCGUUAAGUUGCAUAUAAUGGGCCCGAAACCGGGUGACCUACCCAUGGUCAGGUUGAAGUGGAAGUAAAAUUCCAUGGAGGACCGAACCGACCUCCGUUGAAAAGGCGGCGGAUGAACUGUGGGUAGCGGAGAAAUUCCAAUCGAACCCGGAGAUAGCUGGUUCUCCCCGAAAUAGUUUUAGGACUAGCCUCAAGUUAGAUACCUGGAGGUAAAGCACUGAAUAGCCUAGCGGCCGAGAGGUUAGCGAAGCUUAUCAAACUCAGAAUGCCAGAGUAUUGAUGCUUGGGAGUCAGACAGUGUCAGAUAAAUGUCAUUGUCAAAAGGGAAACAGCCCAGAUCUACAGCUAAGGUCCCAAAGUCAGGUUAAGUGGAAAACGAUGUGAAGAUACGCAGACAACCAGGAUGUUGGCUCAGAAGCAGCCACUCAUUCAAAGAGUGCGUAAUAGCUCACUGGUCGAGCGUCUUUGCGCGGAGAAUUUAACGGGGCUAAACCUGACACCGAAGCUUAGGCAAUACAGCAAUGUAUUGGGUAGGGGAGCGUUGUAUACGCGGAGAAACAGUAGCGCAAGCGGCUGUGGAGUGUAUAGAAGUGAGAAUGCCGGAAUGAGUAGCGCGAAUGCAGUGAGAAUCUGCAUGGCCGAAAGCCUCAGGUUUCUGGAGGAAGGUUCGUCCGCUCCAGGUUAGUCGGGAGCUAAGGUGAGGCCGGAAGGCGUAGCCGAUGCACAGACGGUAGAGAUUCCGUCACCACCAAAAGAGUUAAGCACAGGGACACAUAUGAAGUCUCAGAGCCGGGUGUUGGUUCCGGUAGAGAUCGAGGGAAAUUAGUACCGAAGUCUGAGAUGGAAGAUGGCGAGAAAAGCUGUGUGUAUUUCUGAGGUGCCCGUACCGCAAACCGACACAGGUAGGUAGGAAGAAGAUUCUAAGGCCAACGGGAGAAGGGUUGUUAAGGAACUCGGCAAAUUGACCCCGUAACUUCGGGAGAAGGGGUGCUCCAGAGAUGGAGCCGCAGAGAAUCGGCCCAAGCAACUGUUUACCAAAAACACAGGUUUGUGCUAAAUCGAAAGAUGACGUAUACGAGCUGACGCCUGCCCGGUGCUGGAAGGUUAAAAGGAGAUGUGCAAGCAUUGAAUUGAAGCCCCAGUGAACGGCGGCCGUAACUAUAACGGUCCUAAGGUAGCGAAAUUCCUUGUCAGGUAAGUUCUGACCCGCAUGAAAGGCGUAAUGAUUUGGGCACUGUCUCAACAGCCCGCCCGGCGAAAUUGUAGUACCGGUGAAGAUGCCGGUUACCCGCGACAAGACGGAAAGACCCCAUGGAGCUUUACUGUAGCCUAAUAUUGGGUUUCGAUGUUGCAUGCACAGGAUAGAUGGGACUCUUGGAAACCAAGGCUUUGGCUUUGGCGGAGAGGCCGUUGGGAUACCAUCCUUGCGAUAUUGGAAUUCUAACCUGCGGCUCUGAAUCGAGUCGGGGGACAUUGUUAGGUGGGCAGUUUGACUGGGGCGGUCGCCUCCUAAAGAGUAACGGAGGCGUUCAAAGGUUCGCUCAGCUUGAACGGAAAUCAAGCAAAAGAGUGCAAACGCAGAAGCGAGCCUAACUGCGAGACUGACGGGUCGAGCAGUAACGAAAGUUGGAGUUAGUGAUCCGGUGGUAUGUGAGUGGAAAUGCCAUCGCUCAACGGAUAAAAGCUACCCUGGGGAUAACAGGCUGAUCUCCCCCAAGCGUCCACAGCGACGGGGAGGUUUGGCACCUCGAUGUCGGCUCGUCACAUCCUGGGGCUGAAUUCGGUCCCAAGGGUUCGGCUGUUCGCCGAUUAAAGUGGCACGCGAGCUGGGUUCAGA
rnacentral:rRNA from 1 species